GAUUGAACGCUGGCGGCAGGCCUAACACAUGCAAGUCGAGCGGAAACGACUUAACUGAACCUUCGGGGAAUGUUAAGGGCGUCGAGCGGCGGACGGGUGAGUAAUGCCUAGGAAAUUGCCCUGAUGUGGGGGAUAACCAUUGGAAACGAUGGCUAAUACCGCAUAAUGCCUACGGGCCAAAGAGGGGGACCUUCGGGCCUCUCGCGUCAGGAUAUGCCUAGGUGGGAUUAGCUAGUUGGUGAGGUAAUGGCUCACCAAGGCGACGAUCCCUAGCUGGUCUGAGAGGAUGAUCAGCCACACUGGAACUGAGACACGGUCCAGACUCCUACGGGAGGCAGCAGUGGGGAAUAUUGCACAAUGGGCGCAAGCCUGAUGCAGCCAUGCCGCGUGUGUGAAGAAGGCCUUCGGGUUGUAAAGCACUUUCAGUCGUGAGGAAGGUAGUGUAGUUAAUAGCUGCAUUAUUUGACGUUAGCGACAGAAGAAGCACCGGCUAACUCCGUGCCAGCAGCCG
rnacentral:rRNA from 1 species